GGGGAUUUAGCUCAGCGGUAGAGCACUUGCCUAGCAAGCGCAAGGCCCUGGCAAGGCCCUGGGUUCGGUCCCCAGCUCCA
rfam:Rattus norvegicus chromosome 8, whole genome shotgun sequence.